CCACCUGGGUGUGUGGGGGGGGCUGAGAUCUUUAUAAACAGCUAGAUGGCACAGUAAAGACCAUCAGCAGUUGGGUGACUAGAGAAAGACAGACGUCCAGAUCAAGAAUAUCCAGUGAACCAUGGCCUCUCUCUCUGUCCCUGGGACUGCUGGUGCUAUGCACCCUGGCUCUUGUACACUGUGACCUGAAUGGCGGCCCCCUCAGGGUGUAUGAUAUUCGUGCCGCCAACCUGAAACGAUGGCUAUUCAUAAAACCAAGCCCUUACGUCAAGGUGUGGUGUGGUUCAUCCUUUCAUGGCCAGAGCAACACUCUGGAGAAACAGGAAAACCCCGUCUGGCCCGACAAGUUCAACUUUGCUGACAUCCUUCCCAACUCUGUCCUGACGAUCGAGGUGUGGGAUGAUGUCGUCGGACUAGAUCACCACAUGGGAACCUGCAGAAUCACCAUCCGCCCAGGAACACACAAUGAGACCUGCCAGCUAAACAGAGGCACUGUCUACUACUCCUACAGCUACUAGAUAUAACUGUUUGAUGAUUAGAUUGUAACCUAUGACCUUUGUCACCCUUUCACUCAUGUAUUCAUUUCCUUAUAGCAUUAAAAAAGUGCUUUAUAGCAAGAUGUUCUCAGUCUGUCUUAAUCAUGUUUCUGACUUGUUUUAUUUCU